ensembl:rRNA 5S_rRNA 5S ribosomal RNA
GUAUAUUGCCAUAACUCCCUGAACCUGCCUCAUCUUAUCUGUUCUUAGAUGCAAAGCAGGGUUGGGUCUGUUUUGUACUUCGAUUGUAGACCACCUGGGCAUAUUGGGUGUUUAAGGCU